UGAAGACGACGACGUUGAUAGGCCGGGUGUGUAAGCGCAGCGAUGCGUUGAGCUAACCGGUACUAAUGACCCGUGAGGCUUAACCUUACAACGCCAGAGGCGUUU
rnacentral:rRNA from 5 species